AUGGAGUCACCGGAGCCGAUGAGCCCGUCGUCGUCGUCGUCGGGGUACCGGCAGCAGCACGGCGCGGCGGAGCGGCCGUCGGAGACGGCGGCGCUGCGGGCGCUGGUGGACCGGGUGCGGGGCGGGGAGGUGGAGGCGGCCCGCGAGGUGCGGCGCCUCACGCGGGCCUCCGCCCGGCACCGCCGCAAGCUGGCGGCCGCCGUGGAGCCGCUCGUCGCCAUGCUCCGGUCCGGCGCGCCCGACGGCGCCGGCGAGGCCGCGCUGCUCGCGCUGCUCAACCUCGCCGUCCGCGACGAGAGGAAUAAGAUCAAGAUACUGGACGCUGGUGCGCUUGAGCCGCUGCUUGAUUACUUGCAGUCGAGCGAUCUCAACUUGCAGGAGUAUGCAACUGCUGCAAUCCUCACUCUCUCAGCCUCAUCCACAAAUAAGCCCAUCAUAAGCGCAUCCGGGGCAAUCCCUCUCCUUGUGAAGGUCCUCAAAGAAGGGAAUCCGCAGGCCAAGAAUGAUGCUGUGUUGGCGCUCUACAACCUCUCCACCAUUGCAGAUAACCUCCAAACCAUCCUUUCUGUUCAGCCCAUUCCCCCUUUGUUAGAGUUGCUGAGGUGUGGCAAGAGGUCCUCCAAAACAACCGACAAGUGCUGCGCCCUCUUGGAAUCUCUGCUCGCCUUCGAUCAUGGCCGGGUGGCCCUGACUUCUGAGGAAGGCGGAGUGCUCACCAUCGUGGAGGUGCUCGAGGAAGGCUCCCUUCAAGGCAGAGAGCACGCCGUCGGGGCGCUCCUCACGAUGUGCGAGAGCGACCGCAGUAAAUACAGAGACCCCAUUCUGAACGAAGGCGCGAUCCCCAGCCUUCUCGAGCUCACCGCCCAUGGCACCCCCAAGUCCAGAGUGAAGGCUCAUGCUCUCCUGGACCUGCUGCGCAACUCGCCGUACUCGAGGUCGAAGCUGCAGCCGAACACACUGGAGAACAUCGUCAGCAACAUCGCCUCUCAGAUCGAUGGGGAGGACCGUGGUGGGAAAGCCAAGAAGAUGCUCGCCGAGAUGGUGAAGGUCAGCAUGGAGCAGAGCUUGAGGCACCUGCAGCGCCGGGCUUCCUUCGCUUGA
rnacentral:rRNA from 1 species